GGGACCACUGCUUGGCUGGUGCUGUACUCGUGUAAUAGUGUAUGAUAGUGGCGACUUUUGUGCCAAAUUUUACAAAUACCGGUACAUUUUUCAAAGAAAUUGUUGGUCACCCUUUCAUGAAUUGUAUAAAUAAAUGUAAAAAAAAAACAUCAAAAUGGAUGGCCAGUAGUGCAGAAAACUCCUUCCUUCAUGGGGUUGUUACUGUAGGAGAAAGCACCCAGUUCUUGACUUGGCAGAUUUAUAUACAAAUGAGAUGCAUUGGGCUUGUCCCUCUCUCCUCCACACUGUGAUGACUACUCCCCCUCCGUCACUCUGUUCUGACUCACAGAGGGCCCAAGACCUGUCUGCAGCCCUGUCAAUCACUCAUGGUGUCAAUGACGAUGACCACUGGACACUGCAGGACUGGUCAUAACUGUAUAACCCUAAUCCUGAAGACAGAUUUCCUUUAAAUGAUAUAUUUAUUAGGCUAUUUCUAUGUAAACUAUUGACAGAAACAACAUUUUCAAGAAAACAAUGAAUUAUACAUUUUAAAAUCAUGACAAAGUAAUCGCAAUGUCUCGUCAUUAUUGUUAAACAAAUCUUUUCAUAAGAAGGUCAAGCUGAAUGUUAUAUUUGAAGCCGUCAUGUGACAUAUUUGUGUAGCCAGUUAUAAGUCCUUCAUCGCAUUGGACAGCACCUGAUUGCCAUAAAGAAUCUAAAGACCGCAUCAGAUUCCUUGUCAGCAAAACAGUGAACAGUAAAAAUGAAAGACAGAAAACUAGAAACCUGGGAUAACACACUAUGCUUUGUAGAAGUCGAGAAUAGAAUACAAAGGACAUCUGUCUGAUCAUAGAGGUUAUGUCUCAAUACUGUGUGCUUGGAUGACACAUCUGACAAUCAUUUUAUCUUUAAUAUGCAACAUAAUUCAUAACAACAUAAUGUUGUUCUGCACUUUAUAUACUUGUCUGUAGUUGAUACUCUUAAAGGGGUACUCCGCUGCUCAACGUUUGGAACAACGCCGUCAUGCCCCCUCCCAUAGACUUGCAUUGAGGGGGCAGGGUGUGACAUAAUGAGGGGUCGGGGCUAUGACGUCACGAGCUCCCAGCGUCAGCUCCAGCAUUCCGAACAGUUUGUUCCAAACGCUGAUCAGCGGAGUACGCUUUUAAGUAAAGGAUGUUCAAUUGUAGAGAAACCUAAAUGUAAUACUAAGUUAUGUUUGCGGUAAAAUCCUGGAAAAAUACAUUUAUCCAUAUUGCAACUUGUGACUUCUCAGUCAUGUAAAGAUUUACUACACAAACUAUCCUUUUAUGUAUUAAAUUGUUUUAAUCCAACAGAAAAAAUAAAUCAACCAGU